AUUUGAAUUGCUGGGCCAUAUAGUAAUAUGUUUAAAUUUUGGAAGAGCUGUUGAACUGUUUCCUACGGUAGCUGCACCAUUUGACCUUCCCACCAGCAAA
rnacentral:pre_miRNA from 1 species